UCAUACAAAUGUUGAAACACCAGUUCCCGUAUGAUCACUGAAGUUAAGCAACAUUAAGCCUAGUAAGUACCUAGAUGGGUGACCGUUUGGGAAUACCAGGUGGUGUAAU